AGCGAACGCUGGCGGCAGGCUUAACACAUGCAAGUCGAGCGGGCGUAGCAAUACGUCAGCGGCAGACGGGUGAGUAACGCGUGGGAACAUACCUCUUGGUUCGGAACAACACAGGGAAACUUGUGCUAAUACCGGAUAAGCCCUUACGGGGAAAGAUUUAUCGCCGAGAGAUUGGCCCGCGUCUGAUUAGCUAGUUGGUGGGGUAAAGGCCUACCAAGGCGACGAUCAGUAGCNGGUCUGAGAGGAUGAUCAGCCACAUUGGGACUGAGACACGGCCCAAACUCCUACGGGAGGCAGCAGUGGGGAAUAUUGGACAAUGGGCGCAAGCCUGAUCCAGCCAUGCCGCGUGAGUGAUGAAGGCCCUAGGGUUGUAAAGCUCUUUUGUACGGGAAGAUAAUGACGGUACCGUAAGAAUAAGCCCCGGCUAACUUCGUGCCAGCCGCCGCGGUAAC
rnacentral:rRNA from 1 species